UUGUGUACUAGCUGCGUCAAAUGAAUACUAUUCUGGGCCGUAAUGAAUUUAAUUCCUUUCUGGCCUUAUUAGUCAAGAAAUUAUGUUUUCACAACAGGCGUAUUAACCACCGAGGCCGGAGCGCUCUAUAUAUACUUCUUAGUUGAUCAUACUCACGCGACAGAGUCCGAGUGAAGAACCAUUUAUUUGACUAGGUUAAUUUAUACUUAUAAUUUACAAUAUCAGUUUACGUAACAUAGUGUACACUUUUUAUCACGUUCUCAGUUCUCUGCUGUGAUUAUUUAUAUCCAGUGUUGCUUUGAGUCACAGUGGUGGCGCCAGAAAUUUCCCGACGCAGGGGCUAGGUUCCCCGACGGGGGGGCUAUGCAAAUUUUUUCGUGGUUAUGCGUAUUAAAGUAGAAAUUAAUGAAUACAUACUAACAUAUUUUAUGUAACUAAAAUAUACAAUUGAGCAAGCAUAAUGUGUUCUUUAUAAAAUAUACGAAUCAAUAUACAAAGUUUAUACAGUAGGAAGUUCAGACACGCGUGUCCCUCGCGGAAACAUAAAAUUUUAGGAAGUGUAGUUAUUAUCCAUGAUGAGCUAUGAGCUCCCACGAUCAGCUAUGAGCUCUUGGAGAAAAUGUGUCUAAAUAAAUAUGUUUAUAUAAAAAAAAAACCCAAAAAAACUCCCACAGAAAAACCCAUCCAAAUUCAAAGAGAAAUUCUCCAUUUGGGAAAUCUGGCUUUGAACCUAUCUACUACGUUAUCUAAGUGCAGUUUUUCUCCUCGCUCGCGGUGAAUUCCCAACAUCAUAAGGCUAUCCAGACGCUCCUGUUUCAUUACUGAACGGAGUUCAUUCUUUAUCAGCUUCAUUGAACUAAAAUUUCUUUCACAUUCAGCUGAUGAAACAGGUAAGGUACAGGCAAUCAGAACAAUGCGAUGCAGCUCAGAGAAUGCUUCCUUUAACGUCUCCAGGUAAGAUAGCAUCUGAAGAAGUCCUUUUGGGUGAUCUUC